rnacentral:sRNA from 1 species
UGGAAAUGUUGUGUUUCCGCAUCAGGAACU